CCUCGCUGGAAAUAAGAAAUGAAAACAGAAAGAAGAGGUCCUAUGACAGUUGGCCCCGAUGACAGUCGCCUAAGAGAAGGAGAAUCAAAAUGAAGUACAGAUUUACAAUUUCAAGAGGAAGUGAGGGCUGAGGGCAGGGCUCGGUGGUAGAUCCGCGCCUAGAAGGUCUGAGGUCCGAGUUCCAUCUUCAGUAUCGCACCCGCACAAAGGAGGAAACCAACAUGCAGAUUAGCCAAGUAAGGCAAUUUUUAAUAAAGAUUUCUUUCAUGCAACCCAUAAUGCUUGGGAUUGUUGAUCAGAUGACACAUAAUUCAGGGCUGUGGAUCAAGGACUCGGCUUUUUAAAAAGACUUGUGUGCCGAUUGCCUGAGAUCUUUUAGUCCCAGCCUCAUAUCAUUCAACUCCCAGGCCGUAGGGUGUUGGCACUUGGAGCAUCUGUGUUGUGUGUUUAGGUCAGUGACUAUAAUUAGAGGAAGUGGUUCAAAGUCUGGGAUUCAUGAUUCACAUGGCUGGGAGCCAUUUGACCCACACUCUCUGACAAACCCCAAACCUUGGUCCUCUGAUGGAAAUUGGCGUCUCCUCCGAGUGCUCUGCAGGAAAUCUGAAUUGGAAAUCAGUUCUCAUCUUGGAAAUGCAAACCAGAGGACCAGAUAGUGUUGAAAAGAAGACAGAAAACAUUAUCUAAGCUCCAAAGCAAGACUUUCUAUCUGUUGUUAAAAAUAUUGAAAUACUUCCUUGUCCAUGGGUAAUAGUGGCUUCUCAAGUUCCCUGUGGCUCUGAGAUAUCCAGGGUCCCCCACGGUGUCCUGGACUGCCAUGUGCUCCGGCCACCUGAGUUUUAACACCUGGCAGCUGGUAUAAUAGGUG
rnacentral:lncRNA from 1 species